CCAAAAAAAAAAAAAAAAAAGCAACAACAACAACAAAAACACAAAACUGCUACAAACUAAGUAUUUGGUAAAUUAUUAAUACUGUUAUUAUUAGUUAUUUUUCCAGUGAGCCAUACACAUAACUCAAUGUCUCAGAUAUCCAUUUCAUUUGUUUUAGGGCAUAUCUAAGCAAAGACCAAUUUUUUCACACAUGUUAGAAACAUCAUAGACAUAUUUGCUAGCAUUUAUGUAUAUAAGGUCCCUCCUCAAAGUUCAGAUAAUGACAAAGAUCCUAUGUAGUAUCUGCAGGGGACGGGCAGAGACAGAGAGGGAGAGAAAUUCCCAAGCAGUUUCUGCACUGUCAGCACAGAGCCUGAUGCAGAGCUCCAACUCACGAACCGUGAGAUCAUGAUCUGAGCAGAAAUCACGAGCCAUCCAGGUACCCCAAAUCCAACCUAGUUUCUAAAGGCUUAUCAUUAGCUCAGGCAAAAGUUUAAUUCAUGGUAAAAUUGUAGCUUAAACCCACACCUAGUCAAUUUAAACAGUUCAUUAAUACCAUGUGAGAAUGUCUUUCUUCCAGUUGGUACUAAAACUACAGAAACAUAAUACUGGCUUCUGAGAAGCAUUUUGGCAUAUGUGUGUUGAUGGAUACAAAACAGAGUAAAAAUCUUUAACACAUGAGUAUUCAUAAUUUUUCCUUUUGUUCCAAUUUAAAAGGAGCAAAGAUAUUUGCUUUCUGAGUCAGUUCCUGGGCCUGAUUUGUUUUGAGAAUUUUGAUUAGUGGGCAAAUCCCAGAGAAACACUUAAAAAAAAAAAAAAAAAAGGAGCCAGAGAUGCUAAUUUGAUCUACCUGAUAAGGAUAACAGAAAAGAUACGGGUUGUGGGGGCUGACAGAAAGAGUAGGAAAUGCAACAGGACUUGAGUGUGGAAAAUCAUUUUGCCGCGGAAGUAAAAAUGAAUUAUGAAGAGAGUCUUUGGAGCGGCUUUGGGCUAUUUGAGAUCAGUAGGAAUGAGAAGAGGAAGAUCUUGAGAAAUGGUGAUAGAGUUUUAUAUUAAAUCUCCAUCUCUCUGCCUUGAGAUAGUCAAAUAAAAAUUUAUUAUUUUUACUUCUGGUUGUUAUUCUUUGAAUGCAACACAAGCGAAGACUGGACUACGUGAAGUCUGGAGAUUCAGCUUACAGAAUGUAUAUUUCACCUUUAAUGUAUACCUAUUCAGAGACUUUCUCAUUGCAGCCUCUCAUAAACUGAGAUUACAGUAGCCUCUUGUGGUCUUGGCAUUCGUGGGUCCUGGUGAUAUCAAAAAAUAUGAGAAAUAAAUGUAUAGUAAUUACUUGCUCACCAUAUUUAAUAAGGGUAUUUAAAAAGAAGCAUGCAGCUUAAUAGUGCUGUAUUUUCCUAUGGUUUUAAUCUUUCCAAAAAGGUUAGAUGAGCCCUUAUUAUUGUUAUUCAUGAAAUCAAAUGCCCUUAGUCUUAAAAAGACAGAUGGUAGUGGCUUGCUAAAAUUACUUAGUGACGUGGACAGAAACUAACCACUUGACAGAAGAAAGAUGCUGAAGUGAUAAAAAUCCAUGUAUCCCAUUUAAUGUAGCUAUUAAUAGGGAGGAUUUCCAUAAGGUCUCAGAAGGCAGAAUAUUUCAUCUGUCUAUGCAAAUUUCACUUACAUGCUAAUAAUGUCUCUUUAGCUCUACAAAGACCUGAAAUAAAAUCCACCUGCCCUUCAGAGUAAAAUCAGACUCCGCUUAUCUAGAAACUAACAGAUUGAAAGAAGACUUCUUAGAAAAUGGACGCAGAGAAAGGAAGAGUCUAGACCUUGCAAGUGCGGUGUGAGCAUAAAGUUUUCAUCCUCUAAAAGCACAGAUUACCCCAAACUAGGUCAAAAGUGCUAGGGUCUGGGUGUGUGUGUGUGUGUGUGUGUGUGUGUGUGUGUGUGUGUGUGUGUGUGUGUGUAUUCAUUCCACUUGAGAUUAUUUGAUAUGACUUCCUAAUCUGGGAUUAGUGAUAAAAACUGUCAACAAAAUGGAGUUAGAGGGAACAUACCUCAACAUAAUAAGUGCCAUGUAUGAAAAAUCCAUAGCUAACACCAACCUCAAUGAUGAAAAACUGAUCUCUAAGGUCAGAAACAAGGCAAGGAUGUCACUUUUUAACACUUUUGUUCAACACAGUACUAGAAGUCCUAGCCACAGCAAUCAGACAUGAAAAAGAAAUACUGGUAAGGAAGAAGUUAAACUGUCUCUAUUCACAGAUGAUAUGAAACUACACAUGGAAAAUCCUAAAGAGUACACUUAAAAAACUACUAGAAGUAAUAAACAAAUUCAGUAAGGUGGCAGGCUACAAAAUCGAUACCCAGAAAUUGGCAGCAUUUCUAUAUAUUAACAAUGAAGUCGCAGAAAGAGAAAUUAAAAAAAAAAAAAACAACUACACUAUUUA